CCACUGGACAGCUGUUUUCAACAGAUUACAUUGGUAUUGUACAAAAAUUUAUUUUCUAGAAAUUUUUUGUUUCUAUAUUGUUUGGGAUAUUUAUCGAAGUACUGACGAGUAUAGAUAAGUAAAUUAAUUAAGUUCCUCAGGUAGAUUAACUCUGACAUGCGUAUACCAGUAAUCAGCUACUCAACCCAUUCGCUACUAUGAUUCUCUCUUGGCGAUCGUAAAAAGAUUCUUAUUUUUGUACUAGCAUUUAUAGUCCAUAAAAUUAUACUUUUGAAAAAUUUCAUUUCAAAAAAAAAAUUUGAGUGUAUGUGGGUUAAAUAGAUCAGGUAAAUAGAUUAGAUGGUACAAGUGAAUUACGUGAACCAGGUAGAUUUAAAUGAAUCAGAUAUUUGAUGUACAUGUUCCAUACAGAUUAGGAAAGUUGAAGAAUUUAAUAAAUUAGAUGAUAAGCUAGAGAAAUAUUGAAACGAAUAUUAAAAAUCGAUAAAGGACAAAUAUAGAUUGUAAUGCAUAAAUCUGUGCAAUCUAUAAAGAAACAAAGAUUUUGUGUAUCUCUAAUUUUACAAAUCAUAAUGAUUUCAUCUUCAGUGUUUUAUAUGUAUAGUACUUUUGUCCUUUGUCCAUUAAAACCGAAAGCACCUUGUAGAAGUGAACAACAAAGAUCCAUUACGUUGAUUACUCCUGUUGUUACUAGGCCUCUUGUUGUUAUCAAGUUCUUUUCUUACGCUGGAUACAAAGGUAGAAUAUCUUUCUUCGUUAUUUUAGUAACGAAGAUUCAAUUUUAUCUUAAUUACUACCAUUUUAUUGGAACACUUAUUGAAAAUUAUUUGAUUAUUUCAAAAAGUAUGAAAAGAAUAAAGCUAUGUCGAAUUUUCAGAUCACACCUUACUCAUUAAUAAAUAAAAAUUGUAACAAUGAAUGCAACGUUUACCCGUAUCUGUCUAUGAGCUGAACGCUUCUUCCAGAAUGAAUAAUGUUCGUGUCACAUACCCAUCUUGAGCUUCCAGCCUAAAAGUGAGUGGAUCGCCAACAGCUAUGGUCGUCGUAGGUCUUCCUUGAUACAGGAUCAGUAAACGUACUCGAGAACUUAGGGUAUUUUCUGCUGGAAGGUACUCGAUCGGAAUCGGAGACCCUGAUCUACACAACAUAAGUGCGAAUUUUAUUAGCAUAAUCGAAAUAAAAGUAUAUAUUGAUUUUUUGAAAUAUAAGAAACAUAAAAAAAAGUAAGACACUUUAAUAUCUCGUUUCACAUGAAGACAAAAAAAAUUGUUUUCCUUCCUUAUACAAAAGUAACUGUCAGCUCACUGACAUUAAUAAUCUUCCUUUAAAUUAUCAGUUUUAUUCAUUUCAAGUGAAACAGAUCAACAAGUGUCUCUUUGCAACUUUCUACGAGAUAUAUUCAAGAUUUAGAAUCAUAGAAUCAGGAGAUUUUUAACGAUGGAACUCGAACAAUAUUAAAAUAAAUUUAUCGAGAGUGCUUGCACCAGGAUCCAUGUUUAAGCGAAUGCAACAUAUUCUGCAUUCUAUACUCGAUGACGGAUCGGACUGUUUAAUUAAGUGCACCGGGUGCAAGGCACGGUCUCUCAAUCGAUAUGACCUGGCAUACCCGGCACCGAUGUAGCCGGAUGUGACGACAGCUUCGCCAGGGCCUCGAAAUAGACAGAAAUCCUGUGGUGUUCUCGAGCAGCGACAAAGUAAUUUUCUUACUCUUUGAGUGCCACAUUCGGGGUAACCCUGGGGACCACUGAUUCGAAGAACAUUUACGGUUCCCCCGUUUCCGCGGAAGAAGCAGCGAUCGU